CUCCGUGGCAAUAGAGAGCAAAAGAAAGAUAUAGGAAAACGUAUAGAAUAGCAGACAGUGACACGGAGCCACACGGGAGACGCAGAUCGGGAAAGCAAAGAGAGAGGGAGAGAAACUCUUAUCGCAAUCGAGCAGACAUUUUUGUCGUCGUUCUCCCUUGUUGGCUGUUUCCCCUCUACCAAUACUGUGUGUGUAGUACCAUUGGAAUCGGCGGGACACGUUGGCAAACAGUUGCGGUCCAACAUUCUACAGCGGCCAUAGUGCCAGGAGAGAAGGCAAGAGACGGGCCAAUACCAGGCGUACAGAAAGAAAGGAUAACAAGUGUCAAUUUGCCAUCCGGGCAGAUCCACAGCACUCUUUUUAUCAGGCUUCACAUCUACCCUCGCCGCAAGACAAUCAUGUCGGAUCCCACCACAGCUGAGGAAGCUGCUGCCAAAGCCGCUCUCGACAGUGCCCAAUCGAGUUUCUUCCUCUCGUCCAAAUUGAUUUUCCUGCUGGCACUCAUGGUUCCGGUAGCCUUGCUAGGCCUAUUUGCCCGCAAAUUGUUGAUGUCUGAGAAGGAGAAGGAACUGCGACGGCUGGAAAAGAAGAAAGCCAAAGAGCAACGAUCGUCCAAGAAGAAAUGAAUGGCCGCCACACGAACCCAGUAACCGGAGAGGAGAAAAUGAGGGAUGAUAAAAAAUAGAUACAAGAACUAGAACUCCAUGCCAGCCAAGCACUGGGGACUUAACCCCCAGAUGGUGGGGAGGCGUCCAUCUCUUCAUUCCUUUCAUCUUUUCUUCGAUCUACCACCAUCUCAGAAAUAACAAACCAACAUCGUCAGCUCAUAAUAAAACACAUACACAGCACACAGAAAAAAAUAAAAUAAAUAUGGGAAAUGAGUCUUCCGGUUUGACGAUCGUCCACUUAUAAUAAAGGCGAGCGAUCUGCUCUCGAUGAUGGCUGAA
rnacentral:lncRNA from 1 species